GGCACCAUAACCACAGGAGUCUGUAGCAAAGCCCCUACUUAUCUAAGGCUAAUAUGGAAGUUCUAUUCCUGCCUUAGCAGUACACAUUUCAUCCUCUUUUAAAUUUGAUUAUCGACUGAGUGCAUUUACUGAUGCACUUAGCAAAUUAAUGGGUUUAACAUAGAUAUAAAACUGGUAUUGCUAAUGCAGAAGUGGAACUUCUGCACAAGUAAUCGAUGAGCAGCGAUGUCAGUGCCACG